rnacentral:lncRNA from 1 species
GAUACCACAAAACAAGGUAUGAAAGGAGGAAGGACCAACACUUAACAAAAAUUUGGGAAGUAAAUUCCAGUAAAGGCGUGCGAAAAGCGUACGUCGCAUGCUCUAUUCCGUAGUAAUAUGUGUGCAUAGAAUGAUACAUUCCUUUGUAAUAGAGGGUGCGCCGUAUGCUACACUCCAUCCCUGGGUGUUUUAUUCUAAUUCAAUUCCAACACGG